rnacentral:rRNA from 1 species
UACGGGGGGAGCAAGCGUUGUUCGGAUUUACUGGGCGUAAAGGGCGCGUAGGCGGUCAGCACAAGUCAGUUGUGAAAUCUCCGGGCUUAACCUGGGAACUGCGCUUGUAACUGGCAAGCUAGAGUGUGGCAGAGGGGGGUGGAAUUCCACGUGUAGCAGUGAAAUGCGUAGAGAUGUGGAGGAACACCGAUGGCGAAGGCAGCCCCCUGGGCUAACACUGACGCUCAUGCACGAAAGCGUGGGGAGCAAACAGG